ensembl:snRNA U6 U6 spliceosomal RNA
GUGUUCGCUUCAGCAGCAUAUACACUAAAAUCAGAACUAUACAGACAAGAUUGGCAUGGCUCCCAUGUAAGAAAAGACACAGAAGUUCAUGAAAUGUUCUGUAUUUUU